rnacentral:lncRNA from 1 species
CAAACAUUAAAAGCCUGUUGGUACACCCAGCCUUUGUACUUUUUCUUUUUUUGCCUACAUUGCAAUACAUUACACUUUGAAUUUUACUCCCAAAGAUCCUUCUCUCCGAAACGAUGGUGGACAUUUGGGGAUAAGUAUUCUUCUGAAGAUGCAAAAUGGAUUGAUACAGCAACUCACGUUGGGCCUGGCCUUGCCUCCAUCAUGUUCCAGCUGAUCUUUCUUCUACAUCUGGAACAUUCGUAAGGUCUUCAUCUCCCAGACAGAUUCCACGAUGUCUAAAAAGCGAUCUUCUUUUUAUCAACUUGUGGCGGACAGAUGAGUGAACUUUUGCCUUAAACAUUUCUUGGUACAUAAGGUGCAAGCAAACCAUAACCCCGAACAAGCCAUCUGUUCCCGGCGGAAACAGGACUGAGCUGCUGCGACCCCCGAAACGGUCUCCCUGCGACCACCCGGGACACACCGAGCCGGCGCCGAACCAGACCACGAUCGGGCAGAGACCUUGGGACCUGGCCCUAGUUCAGUGAGAAAGGGCCCCAGAGCUGGUGCAGGCUGGAAAGAUA